rnacentral:piRNA from 1 species
AGGACAUGCUACCCAGCCUAAUGGCUCUGU